rnacentral:lncRNA from 1 species
GGCCCCUUAAUUUGGUGGCACCACACGUUGGAUGGGCUUCUGGAAGUCAGUGAACACCCUGAGAGGAAUCUGCAACCUUAAGAGUGAACCCUCGCCGGGCGUGGUGGCUCAAGCCGGAAAUCCCAGCACUUUGGGAGGCCGAGGCGGGUGGAUCACGAGAUCAAGAGAUCGAGACCAUCCUGGUCAACAUGUGGGUACCAGGAGAAGAGCCAUAUUCGGAGGCAAGUGUUGAGCGCAUCCAGCCCGGGCAGCCAGUUCCCAAGCCUCUCUUCAGUCACCAGGCAGUAAACGGUUUACAGACACCGAGUGACUUGUGUGUCUACUUAGAAGACAAGAAGAAGGCAGAACAAGGCAGGAGAUUCAAAGUCUUCAUUGCUGACCCGAAGUGGAGCGUACAUCAGAGGUCAGCAAGCCAAGUGUCUAUCUUAUCGUCAAAUUCCCCUGUAUCUCUGCAGGACUGUCUGAGGCUUGGGGGAAUGAUGCCAAACAGACAUCAUUUAACCAACAAGGUUGCCCUCCCUGUACUCAAAGCCUGCUGGGGGAGGAUGAGACUGGGUGUCAGAUGGCCAAUUACUCCUGUUUAUACAAGCACGUCACAGGGUAAGCAUCCUCUGCCGAGUCCGUUCUGGGAUUGA